rnacentral:rRNA from 1 species
UACGUAGGUGGCGAGCGUUGUCCGGAUUUACUGGGCGUAAAGAGUGUGUAGGCGGUGCUCUAAGUUCGGUGUGAAAUCUCCCGGCUUAACUGGGAGGGUGCGCCGGAAACUGGAGUGCUCGAGCGUGGGAGAGGAAAGCGGAAUUCCUGGUGUAGCGGUGAAAUGCGUAGAUAUCAGGAGGAACACCUGCGGUGUAGACGGCUUUCUGGACCAUUGCUGACGCUGAGACACGAAAGCGUGGGUAGCAAACAGG